rfam:Rattus norvegicus chromosome 13, whole genome shotgun sequence.
GGGGAUUUAGCUCAGUGGUAGAGCGCUUGCCUAGCAGGCGUAAGGCCCUGGGUUCGGUCCCCAGCUCCG